AGCAGCGUGGCUUAGUGGAAAGAGCCCGGGCUUGGGAGUCAGAGGUCGUGGGUUCGAAUCCCAGCUCUGCCA
rnacentral:tRNA from 1 species